CUUGACCUCAAAUCGGGUGAGACUACCCGCUGAACUUAA
rnacentral:rRNA from 3 species